AAUAGAUACCCCGGUAGUCCACGCCGUAAACGAUGAGUGCUAAGUGUUAGAGGGUUUCCGCCCUUUAGUGCUGCAGCUAACGCAUUAAGCACUCCGCCUGGGGAGUACGGUCGCAAGACUGAAACUCAAAGGAAUUGACGGGGGCCCGCACAAGCGGUGGAGCAUGUGGUUUAAUUCGAAGCAACGCGAAGAACCUUACCAGGUCUUGACAUCCCACUGACCGGUAUAGAGAUAUACCUCUCCCUUCGGGGACAGUGGUGACAGGUGGUGCAUGGUUGUCGUCAGCUCGUGUCGUGAGAUGUUGGGUUAAGUCCCGCAACGAGCGCAACCCUUGAUCUUAGUUGCCAGCAUUUAGUUGGGCACUCUAAGGUGACUGCCGGUGACAAACCGGAGGAAGGUGGGGAUGACGUCAAAUCAUCAUGCCCCUUAUGACCUGGGCUACACACGUGCUACAAUGGAUGGUACAAAGGGCUGCAAGACUGCGAAGUCAAGCCAAUCCCAUAAAACCAUUCUCAGUUCGGAUUGC
rnacentral:rRNA from 1 species